UACAGAGGGGGCAAGCGUUAUUCGGAAUUAUUGGGCGUAAAGGGCGCGUAGGCGGCUUGGCAAGUGGAUGGUGAAAUCCCUCGGCUUAACCGAGGAACUGCCAUCCAGACUGCUUUGCUUGAGGCCGGGAGAGGUGAGUGGAAUUCCCAGUGUAGCGGUGAAAUGCGUAGAUAUCGAGAGGAACACCUGAGGGGAAGACGGGUUGCUGGGCCGACACUGACGCUGACAGCGCGAAAGCCAGGGGAGCAAACGGG
rnacentral:rRNA from 1 species